rnacentral:rRNA from 1 species
AGAGUUUGAUUAUGGCUCAGGAUGAACGCUGGCGGCGUGCUUAACACAUGCAAGUCGAACGGGGUGCCUUAGAAAGAGGAUUCGUCCAAUUGAUAAGGUUACCUAGUGGCGGACGGGUGAGUAACGCGUGAGUAACCUGCCCUGGAGUGGGGAAUAACAGCUGGAAACAGCUGCUAAUACCGCAUAAUGCAGUUGGGUCGCAUGGCUCUGACUGCCAAAGAUUUAUCGCUCUGGGAUGGACUCGCGUCUGAUUAGCUAGUUGGUGGGGUAACGGCCCACCAAGGCGACGAUCAGUAGCCGGACUGAGAGGUUGGCCGGCCACAUUGGGACUGAGACACGGCCCAGACUCCUACGGGAGGCAGCAGUGGGGAAUAUUGGGCAAUGGGCGCAAGCCUGACCCAGCAACGCCGCGUGAAGGAAGAAGGCUUUCGGGUUGUAAACUUCUUUUGUCAAGGACGAAGCAAGUGACGGUACCUGAC